CAGGCUCCGGUUUUCACUUUCACAUAAAUUUUCCGAUUUACUUUUGAAAACAGAUAAAUUACUGCUCCCGUUUUCUCAAAGCGCAAGGGCAGAUUGGCUUGUGCAGUAUUUAAAAAUAUUUUGUUUAACUCAACAUAAAAUUUUGCUUUGAAAUAAUUGGGCAACAACACAUUGCGUUUUCGUGCUAACAGCUGACGCAGCCCGAUUCGGAUAUCGAUUCGACAUUUUGGCGCAUAACAGCGUGUGUUCGUACCAGCUCGGAUUGGACUCGUAACAUACGCGUAAAAGAAAAUCUGGAUAAAUACAGCUAUUUACCGACACAAUUAAUUUAAAACAAGUAACCAUGUCAUCUGUUUUUGCGUGCCAGGUUCGUUGAGAAAACGGAACAUAUCGAUACAAAAUAUUUGUGAAAUCGGGAGCACGUAAAAACGAAACGUUUUGGCUGAAAACGCAAAACGCAAAAGUAAGUAAAACGGGAGACUGCCAACUAUUAAAAAUGUAUAUUUAUGUGGUGUAUGCAAAUCAAUUUUGAAAUUGCAAGCUUCUUAAGAAUCUUGCGAUUUGCAAACACUUUUGGAGCACAUAACUGGAGCAUGGCUAAUAACACUAUGCAGUACCAUAUUUACGCUUCGAACCAAACCAAAUUUUUCUAAAAGGUUUGGGGCAUGUAAAAUUAUGGUCAAGUUUUUACAAAGUUUUUA
rnacentral:sRNA from 15 species